UUUUAAAGAUAAAGUUCCGGCGGUUACAGAUGGGCAUGCGUGACAUUAGCUAGAUGGUAAGGUAACGGCUUACCAUAGCUAUGAUGUCUAGGGGUUCUGAGGGGAUGAUCCCCCACACUGGUACUGAGACACGGACCAGACUCCUACGGGAGGCAGCAGUGAGGAAUAUUGGUCAAUGGGCGCAAGCCUGAACCAGCCAUCCCGCGUGCAGGAUGACGGCCCUAUGGGUUGUAAACUGCUUUUAUACACCAAGAAAAAUCCCCACGUGUGGGGACCCGACGGUAGCCAUCGAAGGAAGCACCGGCUAACUCCGUGCCAGCAGCCGCGGUAAUACGGAGGGUGCAAGCGUUAUCCGGAUUUAUUGGGUUUAAAGGGUGCGUAGGCGGCUUUUUAAGUCAGUGGUGAAAUCCUGCCGCUUAACGGUAGAAUUGCCAUUGAUACUGAAGAGCUUGAGUACAGUUGAGGUAAGCGGAAUGUGUAGUGUAGCGGUGAAAUGCUUAGAUAUUACACAGAACACCAAUUGCGAAGGCAGCUCACAAAGCUGUUACUGACGCUGAGGCACGAAAGUGUGGGGAUCAAACAGGAUUAGAUACCCUGGUAGUCCACACCGUAAACGAUGAUAACUCGCUGUCGGCGAUAAACAGUCGGUAGCCAAGCGAAAGCGAUAAGUUAUCCACCUGGGGAGUACGACCGCAAGGUUGAAACUCAAAGGAAUUGACGGGGGCCCGCACAAGCGGAGGAACAUGUGGUUUAAUUCGAUGAUACGCGAGGAACCUUACCCGGGCUCGAACGGUGCAGGAAUAUGUCAGAGAUGUCAUAGCUAGCAAUAGUCUGUAUCGAGGUGCUGCAUGGUUGUCGUCAGCUCGUGCCGUGAGGUGUCGGCUUAAGUGCCAUAACGAGCGCAACCCUUGUCGUUAGUUGCCAUCAAGUAAUGUUGGGGACUCUAGCGAGACUGCCACCGUAAGGUGUGAGGAAGGGGGGGAUGACGUCAAAUCAGCACGGCCCUUACGUCCGGGGCGACACACGUGUUACAAUGGUAGGUACAGAGGGCAGCUACCCAGCGAUGGGAUGCGAAUCUCUAAAACCUAUCUCAGUUCGGAUCGGAGUCUGCAACUCGACUCCAUGAAGUUGGAUUCGCUAGUAAUCGCAGAUCAGCAAUGGCGCGGUGAAUACGUUCCCGGGCCU
rnacentral:rRNA from 1 species